UACGUAGGUGGCAAGCGUUAUCCGGAAUUACUGGGCGUAAAGCGCACGCAGGCGGUCUUUUAAGUUUGACGUGAAAGCUCCCGGCUUAACUGGGAGAGGUCGUUGAAUACUGGAAGACUUGAGGCAAUGAGAGGGGUGUAGAAUUCCCGGUGUAGUGGUGGAAUGCGUAGAUAUCGGGGGGAAUACCAGUGGCGAAAGCGGCACCCUAGCGUUAGCCUGACGCUCAUGUGCGAAAGCGUGGGGAGCAAACGGG
rnacentral:rRNA from 1 species